UACAGAGGUCUCAAGCGUUGUUCGGAUUCAUUGGGCGUAAAGGGUGCGUAGGCGGCGCGGUAAGUCGGGUGUGAAAUCUUGGAGCUUAACUCCGAAACUGCAUUCGAUACUGCUUUGCUCGAGGACUGGAGAGGAGAUUGGAAUUCACGGUGUAGCAGUGAAAUGCGUAGAUAUCGUGAGGAAGACCAGUGGCGAAGGCGGAUCUCUGGACAGUUCCUGACGCUGAGGCGCGAAGGCCAGGGGAGCAAACGGG
rnacentral:rRNA from 1 species